rnacentral:ncRNA from 2 species
ACCACAUGUGGGCGUCACGGUUCCGCUGGAUCGCAAGAUUUAGUGGCUAAGAGGGAAGCCGGUGAACCGCGCGAGAGCGCGGAAUUCCGGCGCUGCCCCCGCAACUGUCAGCAGCGAGCUGCUUCCUAACUGACGUCACUGGUGCAUUCCGCGCCGGGAAGACGGGAAGCGAGCGACGACCUGCGAGCCAGGAGACCUGCCGUGACGACCUGAACGUC